UCCGGUUUGUCACCGGCAGUCUCCCUAGAGUGCCCUUGCGUAGCAACUAGGGACAAGGGUUGCGCUCGUUGCGGGACUUAACCCAACAUCUCACGACACGAGCUGACGACAGCCAUGCAGCACCUGUGUUACGGCUCCCUUUCGGGCACACCCCCAUCUCUGAGGGAUUCCGUACAUGUCAAGGGUAGGUAAGGUUAUUCGCGCUGCAUCGAAUUAAUCCACAUCAUCCACCGCUUGUGCGGGUCCCCGUCAAUUCCUUUGAGUUUUAAUCUUGCGAUCGUACUCCCCAGGCGGAAUGCUUAUUGCGUUAGCUGCGCCACCGACCAGCAAGCUGGCCGACGGCUAGCAUUCAUCGUUUACGGCGUGGACUAC
rnacentral:misc_RNA from 1 species